UUAGGAAUAUUCGUCAAUGGGGGAAACCCUGAACGAGCAAUGCCGCGUGAACGAUGAAGGCCCUCUGGGUUGUAAAGUUCUGUUGUUAUGGAAGAACUGUAAGAUUAGGAAAUGAAUCUUACUUGACGGUACAUUUCAAGAAAGCCACGGCUAACUACGUGCCAGCAGCCGCGGUAAUACGUAGGUGGCGAGCGUUAUCCGGAUUUAUUGGGCGUAAAGCGUCCGCAGACGGUUUAUUAAGUAUAUAAUUAAAGUCCGAAGCUUAACUUCGGUUCGUUAUAUAAACUGGUAGACUUGAGUACAGUAGAGGCAAGUGGAAUUUCUAGUGUAGCGGUAAAAUGCGUAGAUAUUAGAAGGAACACCAGUGGCGAAGGCGACUUGCUGGGCUGUUACUGACGUUCAUGGACGAAAGCGUGGGGAGCAAAUAGG
rnacentral:rRNA from 1 species